rnacentral:misc_RNA from 1 species
UUUCCGUAGGUGAACCUGCGGAAGGAUCAUUAUUGUAUAACCGAGGUGCGAGGGCUGUCGCUCACCCGCAUGGUCGUGCACGCACGAGUGUCCUCACACACAUCCAUCUCACCCCUAUGUGCACCACCGCGUGGGUCCCCCUUUGGCUUGUUCGGAGGGGGGCUUACGUUUUCACACAAACUUUGUAUGCAGUGUAGAAUGUAUUUUUUGUUUUUGCGAUCACGCAAUCAAUACAACUUUCAACAACGGAUCUCUUGGCUCUC